UCUUCGGUAGCACAAUGGUAGUGCAACGGACUGUUAAUCCGUAGGUUGUGGGUUCGAGUCCCACCUGGAGAGCCA
rnacentral:tRNA from 1 species